rnacentral:rRNA from 13 species
CGCAGAUAUCAGGAGGAACACCAGUGGCGAAGGCGGUUCUCUGGGCCUUUCCUGACGCUGAGGAGCGAAAGCGUGGGGAGCGAACAGGCUUAGAUACCCUGGUAGUCCACGCUGUAAACGGUGGGUACUAGGUGUGGGGUCCAUUCCACGGGUUCCGUGCCGUAGCUAACGCUUUAAGUACCCCGCCUGGGGAGUACGGCCGCAAGGCUAAAACUCAAAGGAAUUGACGGGGGCCCGCACAAGCGGCGGAGCAUGCGGAUUAAUUCGAUGCAACGCGUAGAACCUUACCUGGGUUUGACAUGGAUCGGGAGUGCUCAGAGAUGGGUGUGCCUCUUUUGGGGUCGGUUCACAGGUGGUGCAUGGCUGUCGUCAGCUCGUGUCGUGAGAUG